GGGGGAGAGGCCUUCGCCUUCAGGUACAGCCCCGGGAAGCUGCGAGGAAACCAGUACAAGAAGAUGAUGACCAAAGAGGAACUGGAGGAGGAACAGAGGAUUGAGCUGACCUCUGACCUCACUUCCCUGUAGCGAGUUCCUUAGGUCCUGAGCCACAAAUAUUCUUGCAAAUCCUCUUGAACCGAGGAAUAAUGAAGUUAUCCUUAGCCUCCUCCUAAAGGCUUUUCUUUUUGGCGUCUUAAAACUUGAGAGAUAACGUGGAGCCCCCAGAGAGGAGUCAGCAGGCUCCCGGGGUGCAUUCUGCCUAUAAACGUGCCAGGACUAGGCCCUCAGUCAGCACUUCCCUUGGGGAGGGUCCAGAACGCCUGUGGCACUGCCCAGGCAGAGGCCCCCCCCCAUUGUUUGCGUGGAUUGCUUUGCAAAGCUGAAGGGUUUUCCUGGACUUCUGGGUUCCUUGUCACUCCCCCUGUCCACAUGCCCUUUACACCUGCAAUGUCACCAGUGUCAGCCAUGCCAUCCUUUUAAAAUUAGUUUCCUUCUAGCCUUCCUGCUUUUCAGCACAGAAGCCAAACCUUGAAUGACCCUGCGGUGUGAUGGACAAAUGAGGGAGAGGGGCCUGUGCUCACCGGCUGGUCAUGGCUGGUCCGCCCUGCACUCUGUUUUCGGCCAACUCAGUAGAGGGGGUGAGACCCCCUGUGCUGAAGACUGGGUGGCAAAGAACCAGGACCGGCUGUUGGUUUCCCCCUGCCUUUUCCCUCCACGUAGAGCAGGCCUGGAUCCAGCCCUCUUGUUGCUAAGAGGCCUUUUCACCGACGGUCUUACCAGCUCAGCCAAAUCUCCACCUUCACUUUGGCAGAAGCAAUAACAAUAGUGUUCACUUAACGUAGACGUCUGGAGUCUGCCUCUUCCGAGACCUCACAGAUGAGUUAACGCCACCAGAGAAGCAGAUCAGUCCCAGAUUCGUUUCUUGGAAUUUUCUAUUUGCUGGUAUUUAUACUAUAUCAAACUAGUCUGCAGUUUUUAGCUAUGUUGAUUAAAACAUGUUUUUAAAGUAGUGUUUAUAGACAGUUUUUCUCUGUUUAAUGCAGGGCUGGGAAAUGCCCAGCAGCAGCCCCAGGGCAUGUCGCAUUCCUAGGGACCUUCUCCUUGGGCCUAAUGCUCAGAUUCAGGGGUUUAGGACUGAACAGGCAUCAAAGUAACAGCCCCGCAGAGCCAGUGGCAAACAGAAGACGUGCUCUUGUGAGCACACCUGUCCCCACACAGCAAUAGCAACAGCCGUGUCCUUGUCCUUGUCCUGGCUGGGCUCUGACUGGUAAAUAGGUAGCUCCCUCCAAGUUACUGUUUGUCUGGACACCUUCUGAACGUGGCUUUUAGGCACCAAGCCUCACGCAUUCCAGAUGGCUUGGAUCUGUGUAUUCAGCCUUUGUUCAGUCCAAUAAACUGUGUAAAUGGUCUUGA
ensembl:lncRNA